rnacentral:lncRNA from 1 species
AAAGUUCGCGGUAAGCUCGUUCCGAAUGGCUGUGGGUCACUUGCUGCGAGUGAGCAGUUUCAACUAUGCUCCCUACCACGUCAUCACUGAAGAAGGAUUCAACGCUCCUGUCAAGGGCAUAUGCGGAGAAAUUCUGGCAGCUAUAACACGAUCGCUCAAGACAAACUACACCAUAACAUUUCCUUUGGACUCCUUUUGGGGACUACUGAAGCCGGAUGGAAACUGGACCGGAGUGCUCGGAAUGGUGCA